GCCCGGGUAGCUCAAUCGGUAGAGCGUGUGGCUCUUAAGCUAUAAGAUAACCUCAAGGUCGCGGGUU